rnacentral:snRNA from 2 species
GUCCCUUCGAGGACGUCCGGAAAAAUUGGAACGAUACAGAGAAGAUUAGCAUGGCCCCUGAUAGAUAUUUUUAGCAAGUGCACUAAAUACUA